rnacentral:lncRNA from 1 species
AAGAAAAGGGAAAAGGGCUGUCCCCAUCCUUCUAAGGAGAUGGUAAGUGCAACACAACACUUCUGCUCACAACUCUUCAGCCAGAACUUCAUCACACAGCCUAUUAAGAAGGCCAGAAAAUGUGUAAUCCUUUAACUGGGAUCUUUGCAGUUCCAAAAACUUGGGGAUCCUAUUAUUAAGGAAUAGGAGGAAAAUGGGGCCAUUCUCACCAUAUCUUAGAAAAUUUCCGUGAAAAAGUAGUUGAAAUAAAAUAGAGCACGUGUGAGGAGAAGCACUAGGAACUGACCGUGUGGGUGUGUGAAGACUUUCCCAGUGAGGUGCAGGGUCAUCGUGUUGGCACACACUUGUGUCAACGCUGCCAAGACAGAUCUAGGAUCUGCAAAGAUCCAACUUCCAGUGCAAAAGUUAUCUCAUUUUCCUAGUAGAUUUGUCAUUCCUAGGGCUGGAGGAGGAAGGGCAGGUGGGGUUUGGAGAGAAAUGGAGAAUAACUCUAAAAUGUAUGUGGCUUCUUUUACGGUUGAUGAAAAUAUCCUAAAGUUUAUUGUGGCGAUGGGUGCACAACUCUGUGAAUCUAUGGAAGACCAUUGAAAUGUGCAUUCUAAAUGGGUGAAUUGUAUGGUAUGUACAUCGUAUCUCAAUAAAACUGUUAAAUAUCACCAACCUCUGUGUCAUCAUCAAGCUGUCCAGGGGACUCGAUGGCCACCUGGCCAGGAACUGCGGGCUGAUUGGAAGCUGUUGUUCCCAUUGUAUAAUCACACACAUCAUAAAAUAAUCAGUCUUGUCUCUAUUUACAAUUUUGAUGUUUUGUUCAUCACA